rnacentral:rRNA from 1 species
GAUGAACGCUAGCGAUAGGCUUAACACAUGCAAGUCGAGGGGCAGCACAAGGUAGCUUGCUAUCUGGGUGGCGACCGGCGCACGGGUGCGUAACGCGUAUGCAACUUGCCCUAUACAGGAGGAUAACCCGUCGAAAGACGGACUAAUACUGCGUAUGCUCACAACUUGGCAUCAAGUGGUGAGGAAAGAAAUUCGGUAUAGGAUAGGCAUGCGUCCCAUUAGCUUGUUGGUGAGGUAACGGCUCACCAAGGCAACGAUGGGUAGGGGAACUGAGAGGUUUAUCCCCCACACUGGUACUGCGACACGGACCAGACUCCUACGGGAGGCAGCAGUGAGGAAUAUUGGUCAAUGGGCGCGAGCCUGAACCAGCCAAGUCGCGUGAAGGAUGACUGUCUUAUGGAUUGUAAACUUCUUUUAUACGGGAAUAACAAGAGUCACGUGUGACUCCCUGCAUGUACCGUAUGAAUAAGCAUCGGCUAACUCCGUG